CGGGAUGUAGCGCAGGUGGUAGCGCGCUUGCUUUGGGAGCAAGAUGCCGCAGGUUCAAGUCCUGUCAUCCCGACCA
rnacentral:tRNA from 1 species